AGUGGGAUAACUGGGUCAAAUGGUGCUUCCAUUGCAAAUUUUCUGAGGAAUCUCCAUACUGCUUCUCAGAUUGGUUGCAUCAAUUUGUAGUCCCACCAGCAAU
rnacentral:pre_miRNA from 1 species